CGUGUAGGCGGUUUUAUAAGUCUGAUGUGAAAGCCCCGGGCUCAACCCGGGAAGUGCAUUGGAUACUGUAAGACUUGAAUACGGGAGAGGGCAGUGGAAUUCCUAGUGUAGGAGUGAAAUCCGUAGAUAUUAGGAGGAACACCGGUGGCGAAGGCGGCUGCCUGGACCGAUAUUGACGCUGAGACGCGAAAGCGUGGGUAGCAAACA
rnacentral:rRNA from 1 species